rnacentral:tRNA from 1 species
GCAGUCAUGGCCUACUGGUUAGGGCUUCAGGCUUGGUACCGAAGGGUUGCCGGUUCGAUCCCCGACUCGUAGGA